rnacentral:rRNA from 1 species
CUGGGAGGACCAUCUCCUAAGGCUAAAUACUCUCUAGUGACCGAUAGUGAACCAGUACCGUGAGGGAAAGGUGAAAAGCACCCCGGAAGGGGAGUGAAAUAGAACCUGAAACCGUGUGCUUACAAGUAGUCAGAGCCCGUUAAUGGGUGAUGGCGUGCCUUUUGUAGAAUGAACCGGCGAGUUACGAUUUGAUGCAAGGUUAAGCAGUAAAUGUGGAGCCGUAGCGAAAGCGAGUCUGAAUAGGGCGUUUAGUAUUUGGUCGUAGACCCGAAACCAGGUGAUCUACCCUUGGUCAGGUUGAAGUUCAGGUAACACUGAAUGGAGGACCGAACCGACUUACGUUGAAAAGUGAGCGGAUGAACUGAGGGUAGCGGAGAAAUUCCAAUCGAACCUGGAGAUAGCUGGUUCUCUCCGAAAUAGCUUUAGGGCUAGCCUCAAGUGAUGAUUAUUGGAGGUAGAGCACUGUUUGGACGAGGGGCCCCUCUCGGGUUACCGAAUUCAGACAAACUCCGAAUGCCAAUUAAUUUAACUUGGGAGUCAGAACAUGGGUGAUAAGGUCCGUGUUCGAAAGGGAAACAGCCCAGACCACCAGCUAAGGUCCCAAAAUAUAUGUUAAGUGGAAAAGGAUGUGGCGUUGCCCAGACAACUAGGAUGUUGGCUUAGAAGCAGCCAUCAUUUAAAGAGUGCGUAAUAGCUCACUAGUCGAGUGACACUGCGCCGAAAAUGUACCGGGGCUAAACAUAUUACCGAAGCUGUGGAUUGUCCUUUGGACAAUGGUAGGAGAGCGUUCUAAGGGCGUUGAAGCAUGAUCGUAAGGACAUGUGGAGCGCUUAGAAGUGAGAAUGCCGGUGUGAGUAGCGAAAGACGGGUGAGAAUCCCGUCCACCGAUUGACUAAGGUUUCCAGAGGAAGGCUCGUCCGCUCUGGGUUAGUCGGGUCCUAAGCUGAGGCCGACAGGCGUAGGCGAUGGAUAACAGGUUGAUAUUCCUGUACCACCUAUAAUCGUUUUAAUCGAUGGGGGGACGCAGUAGGAUAGGCGAAGCGUGCGAUUGGAUUGCACGUCUAAGCAGUAAGGCUGAGUAUUAGGCAAAUCCGGUACUCGUUAAGGCUGAGCUGUGAUGGGGAGAAGACAUUGUGUCUUCGAGUCGUUGAUUUCACACUGCCGAGAAAAGCCUCUAGAUAGAAAAUAGGUGCCCGUACCGCAAACCGACACAGGUAGUCAAGAUGAGAAUUCUAAGGUGAGCGAGCGAACUCUCGUUAAGGAACUCGGCAAAAUGACCCCGUAACUUCGGGAGAAGGGGUGCUCUUUAGGGUUAACGCCCAGAAGAGCCGCAGUGAAUAGGCCCAAGCGACUGUUUAUCAAAAACACAGGUCUCUGCUAAACCGUAAGGUGAUGUAUAGGGGCUGACGCCUGCCCGGUGCUGGAAGGUUAAGAGGAGUGGUUAGCUUCUGCGAAGCUACGAAUCGAAGCCCCAGUAAACGGCGGCCGUAACUAUAACGGUCCUAAGGUAGCGAAAUUCCUUGUCGGGUAAGUUCCGACCCGCACGAAAGGCGUAACGAUUUGGGCACUGUCUCAACGAGAGACUCGGUGAAAUCAUAGUACCUGUGAAGAUGCAGGUUACCCGCGACAGGACGGAAAGACCCCGUGGAGCUUUACUGUAGCCUGAUAUUGAAAUUCGGCACAGCUUGUACAGGAUAGGUAGGAGCCUUUGAAACGUGAGCGCUAGCUUACGUGGAGGCGCUGGUGGGAUACUACCCUAGCUGUGUUGGCUUUCUAACCCGCACCACUUAUCGUGGUGGGAGACAGUGUCAGGCGGGCAGUUUGACUGGGGCGGUCGCCUCCUAAAAGGUAACGGAGGCGCUCAAAGGUUCCCUCAGAAUGGUUGGAAAUCAUUCAUAGAGUGUAAAGGCAUAAGGGAGCUUGACUGCGAGACCUACAAGUCGAGCAGGGUCGAAAGACGGACUUAGUGAUCCGGUGGUUCCGCAUGGAAGGGCCAUCGCUCAACGGAUAAAAGCUACCCCGGGGAUAACAGGCUUAUCUCCCCCAAGAGUUCACAUCGACGGGGAGGUUUGGCACCUCGAUGUCGGCUCAUCGCAUCCUGGGGCUGUAGUCGGUCCCAAGGGUUGGGCUGUUCGCCCAUUAAAGCGGUACGCGAGCUGGGUUCAGAACGUCGUGAGACAGUUCGGUCCCUAUCCGUCGUGGGCGUAGGAAAUUUGAGAGGAGCUGUCCUUAGUACGAGAGGACCGGGAUGGACAUACCUCUGGUGUACCAGUUGUCGUGCCAACGGCAUAGCUGGGUAGCUAUGUGUGGACGGGAUAAGUGCUGAAAGCAUCUAAGCAUGAAGCCCCCCUC